GACGAACGCUGGCGGCGUGCUUAACACAUGCAAGUCGAACGGAAAGGCCCUGCUUGCAGGGUGCUCGAGUGGCGAACGGGUGAGUAACACGUGGGUGAUCUGCCCCUUACUUUGGGAUAAGCCUGGGAAACUGGGUCUAAUACUGGAUAGGGCCAUGCUGUAGGUGGUGUGGUGGAAAGAUUAGUUUCGGUAAGGGAUGAGCUCGCGGCCUAUCAGCUUGUUGGUGGGGUAAUGGCCUACCAAGGCGUCGACGGGUAGCCGGCCUGAGAGGGUGGACGGCCACAUUGGGACUGAGAUACGGCGCAGACUCCUGCGGGAGGCAGCAGAGGGGAAUAUUGCACAAUGGGCGCAAGCCUGAUGCAGCGACGCCGCGUGGGGGAUGACGGCCUUCGGGUUGUAAACUCCUUUCAGCCAUGACGAAGCCCUUGUGGUGACGGUAGUGGUAGAAGAAGCACCGGCUAACUACGUG
rnacentral:rRNA from 1 species